rnacentral:lncRNA from 1 species
GCAUAUUAUCUUUAUAAGUUAUGCCGCAAUCUGCUCUUUUGUAGAAUGAGGUUUGAAUUACAAACUCCAGAAUACCAGACUCUACAAACAGCCAAGGGACGACGAUCAGUCAAAGAGCAGUGAAUAUACCAGAUCACAACUAUGCCUAAAACGCUUUCUGAACUUUUUGGGAUUUGUAAAAGUCAGAUAGCAUUACUUAUUUACUUGCACAAUGAAGGAAAAGAAGUUGUAUGGAUUACUGGAGGAGAAGAUGGCACAUGUCAGAAGAAGAUUCCAGCUAGGUAAAAUGUAAAUAACCAGAUGGCAGAAUCCACCGACCUGGGAGUGUGGGAAAUGACUUUUGAUCAUUCUUCCAAUAUUCUGGGUGUGACUUAGAUCAAGAGCUGCAUCAACCUGCAAGUGAAUAACAAGAUGCUGAAAACUGUUUCAUCUUAACAACCAGAGAUCAAUACAAUAUAAUGCAACCCACAUUAAAGCUUUGCAGAGUCUACAGAUGCUACAAGUAUCCCACUAGAUUACUCCAAAAAGAAAAAAAAGUAAAACUUUGAAUGACAACUUCCACAGGUGGAGUAGCGAUGUCAAACAAAGAAACGACACAAAAAAAAAGAAGCUAAAACCCAGGUAAAUAAGAAACGAGCCGUCCAUUAAACACAUAGGAACAACAGAGCACCAAUGUUGUAGAAAUGUUUUGGUAGAGAAUCCACAGCAGAAUCUUAUAGUUUAGAAUUUCUAAACCCAAAUUGCACCCAGUUCAGUGAAAAAAGUCAAUAAACCCUAAAAGAAAAGUUAAGCAUACCUCAUCCAGUAUAUACAGAGGAGCUGGUUUGAAGAGAAGCAAUGCCAAGAUCAGAGAAAGUGCCAGCAGGGAUCGCUGACCUCCACUCAGUUCUGACAAAGACUGUUUCCAAUCACCCCCAAAUGCAACACACACCUCAAGGCCAUCUAGGAAACUACACCCUUCAGGAGGUUCAAGCUUUCCCAUUGUGCCGGGUAAAAGGGUAGAAAAGAUAGACCGUAAGUCUCUGAAGGAAGAAUUUUUUUAUCAGUUUCAGUUUGGAGUCAAAAAUAAAUAGCAUUGGAAGUAUAGAGAAGUUGCUGAAAAUCACAAAGUCAACUGAGAAUGACUCACUUGUUAACUUUGACCCAAGUAACAUUCAAUGUUUCCUUCUUUUUCUCAUCCAGCUCUUCAAUCACCAUCUUGAUCUUAGACUUGUCAUUCUAAGAAGGAAUUCUAGAAGUAAAAGAAAAGGAAAACAGCUCACAGACAGAUCAAGGUUCACCAACCUCAAUGAUGUUCUUCUUAGACAUUAGGUCAUUGUACUCGUCUUCUGCUUUCUCAAACAUUGCCAUAACUUUCUUAUUCACCCUUUUCUCAAGGCUACAAAAGGUAUAAAAAAAAAGUCAUCUCUCAGCCUCAUGGAAGGAACUAAUAACAAACUUCACAACAUAUCAAUUACGGAGGGAGCAUCUUAGUUAAACAACUCCCGUGCAGUUUAUUUUCCAUAACAACGUUAUGUAAAUUGGAUUUAAAACCAUAAGACUUCAUGAAAUUCAUAACUAAGUUUAUUUUAUGUUUGUUUUAUAUAUAAGGAUGGCGAACAUAGAAAUUCUUUUACGAAUUACAUUUAUAAUAGUAUGAGAUCCAAAAUUCGAUAGGUGAUUUAAGCAGGCCAGCCAAAUGAUUCACAAGAACCACUAUCUAACAACAAACUUCAUCAAACAAGUUGUUUCAGAUAAAGGAAGCUCAAUCAGACCAAAAAGAAAAAAAAAACUCAAUUAGAUGCCACGGACGAUAGUUCAAUUAAAUCUCAGCAAUAAUAAAACAUACCUUGAGAUCCUUUGAAGCUGACUGGAGUAGAGCUUUUGUCUCUUUGAUCUUCUUUUCCAAAUCUUUCAGCCUUCCCUCCCGACUGUUGUCGUGCUCUUUGAUUGAUUUCUCAAGAAAUGACACUUUAUUCACACAAUCUUCAUGCAAAAGUUUCUUUUCUUUGGCUGCAGUAUUAGCUUCUUGUAGCUCUUGCUCAAUCCUCUUUACUAAUUCACCAAGCUAGAUAGCAGAAUAAAAAAUUAGGAAAAAUUCCCAUCUGCCCUAAUUUUAAAAAAAAAUUUCCCGCUAAUAAAAUAAGAAUCUAAAAUUCCCACUAACCAUAACACUUCUAAUGAUUUAUUCCCUCUAACAAAAUUUUCAGCUUUUCUAUUAUUUUUAUUGACAAAACUGACCUCCCCUCCAUUCUCUCAUCUCUCUCUCUCCCCCCCUCCCCACCGUGCUUGUGCUUCGCCAGAGCCUUCUUCCCGGUGCGAAUUCACUACAACGCCGCCUCUACCGGCUCUCCCUCCAUAUCUCCUCCACCGCCACCACCUCUCAACAGCUCCUCCCUCCACUCUCCAACCAUCGCCGUCAAACAUAUCGAAAUCACCACUCUCGAAAAUCUCUGUGUGGAGAUCGUCUUCAAAGUUGAUCACCUAACGCCGGUAUGGAUCUAACGACAGUGGUGGAUCUGACGACGUCGAGAUCUGAUCGUGCUCCGAUCCGCUCCGCCGUUGUCACCGUCUCUUGCCGUAAAUCUCAGAUCCUUCCAGGCAUGGACUUCUGAUUGAAAACGCUCUUAACGAGGUGAGUAGAGAGUGAGGUGAAUUGGUUUUCAGUGCCACUUCGAUUCUGUGUUUGAGAAAAUGUGAUGGAAUUGUUAAAUCUUGUGGUUUAGUAGUAUUUUCGGCCUGAAAUGAGGGUUAGAUUUUCAAUUUUGAGUGGUGGAUUAGUGUAGAACGGAUCGGUUAUUGUUUGUAGGGAUAUUGUUUGAAGCAUGUUUAGGUUAGAUCAACCUGAAAUGGUAGAUUUUUGUGACUGGAAAUGGUUGUGACGGAGGGAUGCUCUUCAUGGAGGAGUCUGGGUGGUGGGUUCACUGCUCCAAUUUGAAGAACGACCAUUAUUUUUGGGGUUGUUGAACUUGAAGCAUUUAUGGAAGAGGGUCGUUUAUGCAUCAAAAAGAGAUCAUGGAUCUCUCACAUGGGAGUCGUAUUUGUAGUAUUUAUUGAUGGAUUUCUUAGGGAAAAUGGAGGAUUUCAUUUCAUGCAUAUAUAAUAUAUGGCACUAUGGCAGAUAACCACCAAGACACUAAGCGUGGAAUAUUGCUUUAUGGUCUUUGAGCCUUUGUCUAUGUAGACACAGACUUCUAAUUCACCAUUUGUCCUAGUAUUUUAGGGUAUAUGCAUGUAUGGUGUAACAUGCAAGUUUUGUUUUACUUUGUUUAAGACCAUAAUAGUUGAUUUUUAGUACACGACUUCAAGAAUACAUGAAUUAUUCUUUGCAUAGUUGAAUGUAUUAUAUAUUGAUUGUGAUAGUAGUUUAUAAAUUGCGAUAGAUCGACUUCCUAUUGUCUUUAUACAUGGCGAUAGACUUCCAAUUGUCUCUAGUAGACUAUGUACUACCCCCAAUAGGAGGUCCUAUUGCCCCCAAUAGGUGGUCCUAUUGCCCCCAAUAGGUGGUCCUAUUACCCCCACUAUGAGAUCCUACUGACCCUAGUAGGAGGUCAUACUGACCCAAUAGGUGGUCCUACUGCCCCCAUUAGGAGGUCUUACUGCCCCUAGUAGACCCUAGACGAACCCCCUACUGCUCCUAAUAGACCCCCGAAGAACCCCCUACUGCCCCUAAUAGACCCCCCGAUGAACCCCCUACUACCCCCAGUAGGAGGUCCUAAUGACCCCAAUAGAUGGUCCUACUGCCCCAGUAGGAGGUCCUAGUGGAGGAAUAUUAUGUUCUUUAUGUAUGUCCUAUUGUCCUUUAAUUAGGGUGUGAAGAGUCACUUGUUUUGGUGUAGAUUUGGAUAGAAGUUAUCUUCUCAGUCUUACAUCUUAUAGAAUAUUAUAGACUUCACUUCUUCCAUUUCAAAACUUUUCUUAAUACAUGUAUACCUUAUAUCUUAAGUUUAAGGAUCCUACUGCCCCCAGUAGGAAGUCAUACUGCCACUACUAACCUACUGACCCUAGUAAGAGGUCCUACUGAUCCUAGUAGGACCAGUAAGAGGUCAUAUUGCCCUAAGUAGGAUGUUGUAUUGCCCCCAAUAGGAGGUCUUACUACCCCAAUAGGUGGUCAUACUGCCCUCAGUAGGAGGUCCUAAUGACCCUAAUAGGUGGCCAUAUUGCCCCCAAUAGGGACAUAUUAUAAGUGACUAAAGCACAACGACCCCUGGAGUCCGGUCAACGGUCGUCGGAGCCCGGUCAACCACCCUCGGAACCUAGUCAAUGGUCCCCGAAGCCCGGUCAACGGUCCUCAGAGUCUGAUCAAAAAUUGUCGGAGUCCCGUCAACAUCAUUGGUCGUGGGAAUCCGGUUAUAAAAACUUUAUUUUAUAAUAGACUAUUAUAAUGGUCUAUUGUAGUUUAUUUAAUUCAUUAAGGGUAUAAUUAUCUUUUUGUUCUUAUAAUGGUCUAUUGUAGUUUAUUUAAUUCAUUAAGGGUAUAAUUAUCUUUCUGCUCUUAUAAUGGUCUAUUGUAGUUUAUUUAAUUCAUUAAGGGUAUAUUUGUCUUUCAGCUAUUUAAGUUGACUCUUGGGAAUUUUAAAAUCUGAUUUUGUUAGUGGGAAUAAAAUUCUUAAAAUUAGGGCUAGUGGACAUUGUCCAAAAAAAUUAAGAUUCAUGUCAUAAAUCCAGUAAACACAGUCCGCAGCAUAGUUCUGAACUGAAUAUGCUAAAAGAGAAAAGAAAUGUGACAAAACCUUAUGAUGCUCAUUUUGUUCAGCCCUGCCCUGAAAUAAUUUAAGGUCAUAUGAUUUGAGUUCUAACUAUUGUUUAAGCUCCAUGAACUUCUUGUGAAGAGGCUGAAUUUCUCUUAUCUGCAAAUAGAAAUACAUUAAUGAAAUUGCUAUGGAAAUGAAGUUCCCAAUGACAUAUAAAACAGCCACACUAUGAUUUUUCAAUUGCAUAUAGUGUAAUAUGGAAUUUCAGUAUCGUAUUGAGAGAAAAUAAGAUUUCAUAGGCAACCUUAGCUUCAAUCUCAGUCAACUUUUUCUGAUGCUCAGAGAGUUUUAGCUCAGCUUCAGCCAGCUCAUGACGCUGCCUUAACAGAUCACCCCCACCCCUGUGACAGGAAAUUAUUGCUUUAGAAGGAAAACUAGCUAGAUGUAUAUGUACUUUGAAUUGAUAAAUGAUAAGGACAACACAAGUACGGAAAAUUAGUCAGAGAAAUCUAACAACAGAUAUAUUCUAGACGAAGGGAGAUAAAGCAUGAAAUCUGAACUGGAGGAAAAAGAACAGUGGCAUACUUGCGGCUUCCACCAGUCAAAAGACCACUGGGCUGAAAGAUAUCACCUUCAAGAGUGACACUAGGGGUACGAACUUCCCUGUUAAAAGCAACCUAGGAAACAUUCAUAGAGAAUCAGAUUGGGUCAUGCCGCUUUCCAGUUUAGAAUACAAGUGUUUAAAAGGACAAUACUAUAUAAUCAGCCAACAGCACGAUCAAAUCCACCUCUCACCUCCUUUGCAGCAUCAAUAGUCUUGCACACAAAGGUUGAACCGAAGACAUAUUCCAUAGCACUCUGCAGUAAACAUUAAAUGGUAGGUAAAGUGAGCAAUUAUCAUAUUCCGGAGGUCUGUAAUUUGUUUAUGAUCGAAAGAUACCCUCAGGUGCUCAUCAUAGCCAACCAAAGAAAGUGCAAGUUCUGCGUUUUCUCUGCCAACCUGAUCAUAGAAAUCAAGGUUAUUAGUAUAAUAAGCCACACCAUUGGGAGGAAAGAAAAGCCUAAAACGAGGUCGGGGCAGGACAAACUAUUGGCAAAAGAAACUAACCAAUUUAGCAGCAGCAUUUUGAACCCUAGGAGGAACUGUGUGAGCUUGAAUUUUGUUCAAGGGUAUGAUUGUUACUCUUCUUCGAAGAUUGCCAUUCUGAAGAAGUUGUUUUCCAGUACUUUCUGUGUCUACGACAACAUUAAACAACUUUCCACCAGCAGUGACCUAGAAAUCGAAGGUAUGCAAGUUAAUACACAUUCUAUAAGUCAUGAGAUGAAAUCAUUUGUGAUAAAUGCAUUUUCACCUCUAAGGCAGUCAUGGUGGAGCUAUCCUUCACUUUGAUAAGUUUUGCAACUACACCCUUGACCUUAGACCUAACAAAAUUGUUCACAGGAUCUCUAUAAGAAAAGUCAACAUUUCCAAAGUGUACUGAAAGAUUACGCAUUUAAUCCUUCAACUUCUGCACACACUCCAACUCAGAUGAUCGGUCCUGAAUAGAAUAUUCAUUUAGAGAAGGAUCCAAAUUAAGAGUUAUAAACUGUCUAGAUGUAAAAAGAAUGAUCAAACAGACAGCAUGUUAACCUUUUGCAAAGCUUCCAUCUGGCCCUCCUUAUAUGGAAGAGACUCCAGUGCCAAUUUAACAUUUUCAACAUCUGUUUUCCUAGCCUUCAGCUCACUCUCUACAGCAACAGCUUCUUCACGCUUUGACAUUAGUUGAGAACUUUUCUCUUUCAACUCCUUUUCACAGUGACGAAUUUUUGUUUUCAACUGUUCCAGUUCUGUUUCAGCACUCCCUACAGCUCUUUUGGCAUCACCCAAUUGAUAUUCGAGGCAUUUAUCCUCAUUUCCACUACUCUUGCCAGCGAUUACACCCUGGAAACAUUAAUGAAUCAAAAAUCAUAGUGAUUCCAAGAGUAACUCGCACACCAUGCAAGCCUAACAUGUGACUUAGAUGAACAAGGUAUAGGCAACACAUAGAUACACUAUCUACCUGGUACUGAGUCUCAUACUCAUUCAGACUAUGAGAAAGUUCCUCCGCUCUCUUUUUCAAAUCAGCAGCUCCUUCUUCGGCAUUUCUUAUAGCACAGUCCCUAUCUUUUAGAGAUUGUUUCAUGUCUUCAAUGUUGCUAGCGAUCUGACAACAGAGAGAGGCAAAUUCUAUGUUACCAUAACCAUUUCAGACAAAGCAUGUAGCAAAUGAUUACAUAACAGACUUGAAAGAGCUUGGUGUCAUACAAAAGAAAGCAGUAAGUAAUACAAUAUAUCAAUUACCAUUCUAGCAUUAUCAUUUUCAGUAUCAAGAUUGUCCUUCAUAUUAUCCAGUAUAGACACUUCCCUCACUACAUCUUGAGAAAGCGCAUCUACUUGGUUAGACAGAUUUUUCACUUCUCCACCCAUACUAGCCUCCUUUUCAGCAGUCAACUUGGACACUUGUGUUUCCAUUUCCUUUAUUGUUGCCUGCAUCUUUCUGGUAUCAUCAUCAACCUCAGAAAUUGGCCUUCACUUGUUCCACCUCAUAAACUGCACUGUCCCUUAUCCUCUCCGCUUGAACAUAUUCAUAAGCAAUGCAAAACCUCUUGAGCCGAUCCAAGUCAGCAUUGCCAUUAGCCCAUUGCAUAUACUGUGUCCUUUCUCUCCUCAACUUGUCCAAUGCAGGCAGUAUCUCAUGGUCCAGAAGCUUAUUUAUCUCAUCAACUUUACUCUGCUUCUUCUCAAGUGUCUUAAGAGCCGCUUCCUUUUUGGUCUCAUACAUUCUCGUCCCGGCAGCCUCUUCAAGCAUAGACAAAAUCUCGGGCGGUUUCAUAUUCAAAACCUUGGUAAUUCGGCCUAGCAUAAUCAAAAAAUGUGGAUUAUUCACAUUGAGCUGCACCGAAUGAAAAAGAUUCUGGACCUGACUCGGCUGCGCAAGUUUCCCGUUGAUCAAGUACUUGUUCCUCCCACCAACCACAAUCUGAUAUAGCAACACCAACGAAUUCGUAUCACACACUCAAUAAUCAGAUUCAUUGAUAGAUUCCGGUUGCAAUCAGAAGCGUUACAACCACUCCACUAAUACAGCAACUUAUAACUAAAUUCAACCUAAGAAAUAGUGAUAAAUUAAGCAAGAAACCCUAAAUCUCAACUACUUAUCGGCUUAACUAAACUCCGGUUGCGAUUAAUCUAACUUCUCGUAACAUCACUACAAUUAAUUACUUAAAUUCAACUUCAAAACAGUAAGAAACCCCCAAAUUCAACAUCAAAAACGACAUCAAAAUCUCACAAACGACACACCUGCCGCGUGACCGUGAGUUCCGAAUGGGCCUCAUACCCGAGGGGACUGCGCGCCCGGUCCGAAUUAUCGAAGACAAUCGACACAGUGGCCUUAGUAAUUCCUGCCUGGCCUUGCUUACACACCAGCUCCUGCAGAUUGGCGGCCCUCACUUGCUGUAAGUUGGUGAUGCCCAGAACGAAGCAAAUGGAAUCGAGAAUGUUGGACUUACCCGACCCGUUUAGCCGGUUAUGGCGUUGAAAAACGGGUCGAAUCCCGGCACCACCUGAUAUUUUACUCACUUAGUCAUGUGCCGCGCACGUGACCAGCCAAAUAGGUCUAUAUAUACUCCUCUCCUUUGAGAGCUUUUGCUCAGUUUCUGGGGCGAGGAUUUGUUUCUCCUUGCAAUGAGCCGUGCACUGGAAAACACUUUAGCGUUGCUUCAAUCCAAGAUGCAAAGUGUAUUGACAACACCACCACCGGGCCGCUACCAGCAGCGACCAUUGGAGCAGUCAUCAACUCCAAUUUCUGAUCCUAAAACUCAAAUUGAGAUUGUUCACUCUCAUCUCUGGAAGGCUCGAAGCAAGCAAGUCGCUCUCAAGUCGACUGCGGUCACCGGAGGAGUGAAGAAUAGACACCGAUCUAGGCUGGGAACCUACGAGUCCCUUACGACUGACACACACCCGAAGCGCAAGGUCUCUUUUCUACGCCUUGUGGCUGAAAUAGCUCAAGAUGUCAAGGUUGAUUGGAGGUCCCAGAGCUUAGUUAUGCCUUCUCUGCUAGGCAGCACUGUGUCGACUCAAGUGAACAACACUCAUGCAUCAUUUUGUUCAGUAAGCAAUACUGGAACUCUCAGUUUCGUGAAUAAUGGUUGUGGGUGCUGUUGAUUCUGUGUUUGUUGGGUCAAUUCCUGUUGGUGUUAGUGUUAGGCAUGAUAAUCAGGGACCAAAUUCGGGUGAGAAGGUGAGAGAAUGUCAUGCACUCCACCUGUUUGAUGAAAUGCUGCAUUCAAAUGAGUUGGGUAAUGUAGGAAGGACUGUUGCAGCUCUUACGAGUAUUCGAGAUAAAAGGUGGGGGACUUGCUCACCAACCUUUAGAAUAUGCACUUGGGGUGAAUCGUGCAAAAGAGAAUGAAGGUGUUGACAUGAAGGCUAAUCAACUUGAGGAUGGCAAUGCUAUAUCGGAGAUAGGUUUUAGCUCUCAACUUAUUCAAAGCAAUGAAUCACUUAAGAUUGUUUCCAGGGCAGAGGUUCCAAUUGAUGGGAUUGUAAUUACUGGUCAAAGCCAUGUGAAUGGGAGUAUGACCACACAUGAGGCAAGGGCCAUUUGUGAAAGAUUUGGUUACAGGAUAAUUGGUGGCACCAUGAGUGAUGGAUGCUUACAGGUUAAGGCAAUCCGUCUUUUUGAGGUUGAUAAAGAAAUUGAUGAAAAUGUGGGAUUAAGUCAGCCUCGAGUGAAGGGAGAGAUCAAAAUGAAAAUGAUGUUAAACAGGAUUUGAAGAUUUUCCAGUCAAGCUAUUUUAGUGGAGGCAUUGUAGUUUUUUCGAAUAUUCAUGAGCUGGAAAAUUAUUUUCAACUGGAUGCCUACAACAGCAAGUCCUUUUUAGGUCUUACGCCCCCUUGAAAGAGUUAUUAAACAGGUGUUGUGGAAGUGUGAAGGGUGAAUGGGAUAACUUACUUGCUGGUGGUUCAUCUGUUACAUUGCUCACCAAGGAUAUAUGUAAUGUUCUGUGGGUGAGUUCUGAUGCGCUAAAGCUAAUCCAAUAUGGGUUGAAAACUGCAGUUGUUUUUGUGAUGGAUAAACCACCUGAUAUUACGAGCGAAUUCUAAAAGGGUACUGGAGUUAAUAUUGGAGAAGUGGAAAUCAAGAGGUACUGUCGAAACAAUUAUUGGCUUGCAGUGUUGCUGUUGUGAGGCAGAGGAGAUUCUACUCUUUUGCAGGGAAGUGUUCAACGUAAUUGGUGAAAUGACUCAAACCACCUCAUUGUCCCAGGUAUCCGCUAUAAAUUUUCAAGAUGAUAGAAGAGAUUUUGUGAGUUUCUUGUGUGACAUGAUUAAGCUCUAUGUCGUGAUCUUUAGUGCUUUUAUUGAUAAUGCUGGAAGUUUGCUUCAUGCUGAUAUAUUCGAGAUAAAUGGAUCUAUUGCUAGCUCUCUUGUUGAUAUGUAUGCCCACUGUGGAGUAGAUAUAGAAGAGACUGUUUUUCACUUGAUGAUAUCCAGGGGUUUAGGGAAUAUGGGUCAGAUUAUUAGUUCAGUGGCUGACUCCUCAAAUAAGAACUCAUUUUCUGUUGAGGUUGUUGGGGUUUUUGCUUGGGAUGGUGAUCCAGGGUCUUCACACAUCAAAAGGGCCAAGGCUGAGAUGUCAACUAUUUGUGUUUUGGACUAUGAGAAUGGGUUUAGUGCAACAGAAGUGCCCCAGUUUGGCGGAAUUGAUUUUGGCCAAGGGUUUUCAAGUGAUGAAAUGCAUAAGUCUGGAUUCAUGUUAUAUGGGUUGGGGUCAAUGAAGAAUUUUGCUACUCCACAUGAAGUUAUUGCUGUCUCUUGGAAUGUUAAUUUGCUGGCAGCAUAUGUCAAGUCUGGAUGUAUAUAGUGGCCAUCAAUUGGGGCUGAUAACACAUAUGUCAUCUCAUUCUCAAAUGUGACUUCAUGGAAUCACAUAUUCUGUUGCUAUUUCCAGAAUGAGAUCAACAUGGAGGUAAAACAUAUAAUUAAUAGCAUACAAGAAGUUGUUGUUUGCUGGAACUAUAUGAUAGCAGGGAAUUCACUCAAUAUCAACAUGAGGUGAUUACCAUGCAAAUUUCCUAUGCUACUAUACUGCUGAGUUGCUGUGCAAAGCUUGCUUAUUCAUCUCCAGGGAAACAUGUUCAUGUCUGGUUACAUUUAACAAAAUUUGGAUAUGUGAAUGAUGCAUGCCUUAGUUGAGUUUCAUGAUCAAAUGUCCCCACGAUACAAGUCAAAGAUAAUGAAGUAUCUCAGAGAGCAUCUGAAAUCAUCAAGUGAGCUCUUACUUUCUCCUCGUGUGAUUCAACUCUCUUUGGUGGAAUCUACUUAUCAAAGUAAAUUGGUGAUGACUUUAUCCACUAGUUUAUUGGAUGAGCUUUACAACACAGGAAUUGGAUUCAGCCAUAGUGCAACAUCCAUGCUAGCAAUUGGAAAUGGUUCUAUGCUUGUGCUAUUGCAACUGGUUUGGUUGAUGUUAGAAAAACUUUUCAAGUGUGAGCACAAGGAAAAUGUAUUUACCAGUUUCGAGCUACUGUUGACUAACCAAUUUAUCAUAAAGGCUCUUGGGUUCCAGCAAAAGCUCUUUAUUCUUAUUGGUCUACUAGUGACAGAGAGUUUACCUUAUGAUCUAAUCGUGAUAUGGGGUGAUGAAUGGUUUUUGUCAGGAAAACACUAUUGUUUUCUUGGAUAUGUGAAUGAGGUGAACAACUGUUCAUUCAGGUUGCUUGACAAGCUCAAGGCUGAGCGUAAGUGUAAUAAAACCAUUGAUAUCACGCUGUGGAAUUUUGAGACCACCAAGUACUACACUGACUUGUUGCUCCCAGACAUCCUGAUUUCAUCAAGGACAUGAUUACUAGUACUUCCAAGGCUGAUAAUGCUAUCCUCAUCAUUGACUCCACCACUGGGGGUUUGGAAGCUGAUAUCUCGAAGGAUGGGUUAGCCUGCGAGUACACUCUGUUCACUUUCACUCUUGGUGACAAGCAGAUGAUCUAUUGCUGCAACAAGACUUCAUGGGAUGCCAUACUCUCUUGCAGGUGGUUAUUUGAGCUCCAAUUAUCCAGCAGGGUACUUCUCUUAUGCUCAUAUGAUUCUUUCCAAAUACACAUCAUGGAACCGUUGCUGCAACAUGCUUCAGUUUUUUCCUGAUAACUUGUGGGGCGGUAUUUGAAGAUCUAUAUUUUUGGGUGCUGUGUAGUCUAGACUAUAGUUGGUUAAAUUGCAAUGUCUCUUUGAUAAUUGAAACUUGAGGUCAAGUUUGUUAAAGGGGUAUGGAUUGUCAUGAUAUUUUACUCAUUUAGUCAUGUUAUGAUGUUUUUGGGUGCUGUUUAGUCUAGACUAUAGUUGGUUAAAUUGCAAUGUCUCCUUGAUAAUUGAAACUUGAGGUCAAGUUUGAGAGCUUUUGUUCACUGUCAAUGAAAAUAUCAGCAUUUUAAUUUCUUUCAUUUCUGCAUUUCUUUGCUUUUCUCUCUAGUUAGGGCUAAUACCCUAACACCACCAUCCGCGUCGCGUAGGACUUGAAUCCUUCCAAGGUCACCUCCUUGAUGUACAUAGCUGCGCUCACCGGAGAGAUGCGGGCGCUAAUCGGUGGCCGAUUUUGGAGAGAUUUAGGGUCGGUGGUUGGAUCGAAACCCUAGAAAUUUGAGCUUCUGGUUUUUGGUUUUGGGAACUUGAAAGUCUAAAAUGAAAUGGUUCGAAUUUCUUUUUGUUGUUUUCCGCUUUUUUGGGUGGGUUCGAAUUUUUAACCCUAGACAAAGGCGGGAAAAGACAGAUAUAUUUGGGCUUUAUCUAACAGUGUAUGAGCUUUAAACUCAUGAACGAUGUUGUUUUGUAACGCAGGAUUUCGAUUUUAAAUUCGCAGUUUUCCCAGUUUGAAAACUCAUUAAAAACGAUCGGGUGAAGAUUUUUCAAGUUCGUCUUAAAGAUCAUGAUUUACCGAUAUAAAGAAUUUGGUGAACAUGUAAGAAUAUGAGAUUUUUGUCAAAAAAAAAACGUGUGCUACAAUCCACAAUACAAUUUCAUAUGGAUAUCAUGAUUUCGAACAAUUUCUUGUUUUCUUAGAAAAAUCUCUGCAGUUGGUUCCUAUUGUAAAACUGGUGUUUAACUGAAGCAAUUUCUACGAUAUAGAAGAGUCAAAACUUCUUUUUCUUAGACAGACUGGUUCAGUACAACAUGGUACACUCGGCAUUGUACAUGUUUCUAUAGUCUGUAUGUAUGAAUAUCUACUCACCUCAGUUUCUCUUUUACAACACUAAAUGACUGCAUAUUUCUCUACAUACACAAGAAUCAAUAAUGCCAUUUUGGUCUUUCUUCCUCUUCCUUUUCGGUCAACUCCCGGUACUGAUACCACACUGCUCCAGACUUACCCACUGGGAUUGGAGACCUAACAAAUAUUUCGACUAGCUUGGGAACAUGCACAGCUAAAUGCAGUUCCCUGCAGUUUUUUCUGCAUUUGAAUCAGAACUUCUUAAUAAUCUGCAAAUAGGUUCAAUACUAGUCCAACCUAAGCCUGAUAUAGCCGCAUCACAUGCUGGCCUGCAUACAAGGAAAAGAGAAGAAUUCUCAUAUUGAUUAACUAACUAACUUUAUGGAAAUAUCAGAAUUGCGAUACUCAUAUGGAUGAUUUACCUUUGCACAUCUUCAACUUUUAUUUGCAAUUGACGCUGAGAGUCGAGACCUCUCCAUUCAUCUGCUCUUUCUUUCCCAGUUGGAGGUGUCAGUAAGACUCCAACGUGUUUCUGCAACAUGGUAAAAGGCACAUUACAAUCACACCAAUCAAUUUAAAGAGAAAAAUAUCACGCACACCUUUAAGGCCGGAAUGGUAUCACAUUUUCGUAGUGUCAGUAACAUAAAAGGGUUCACUUUAAUUGCUUUCAAAAUAUUUUAAAUGCUUCAUAAGUCAGCUGUACUUGGGAAAUAAGAAACUAUGAAUCUCAAGUGGGACCUUGAUUACCUGGUAAAAUUCAUCAGCCUCAUCAGUUGGUACCAUAUGAAUCUGAAGACUCUUUGGCCCAUAAAAUGUUAAACAUGUCUCAGGGAGAACCUGAAAUUACCAAUAUUUGAUUACUCAGGAAACACCGUAUAUGCAUCAGCCAGAUAAAGAUCGUACCUGAAGCUACAAGGCCAAACCAAACCUUUAAGACAUCUACUCUGAGAAGACCUCCCCAGAAUAUUAAAUAGCCAUUCAAAUCAUUGGAAUUGCCUUGCCUUGUUGUUCCACUUCCAGAAACCUGAGAAUUCUGGAGGGAUAAGAAACAGUCAACAACUCAAAGAUACCAAAGGAAAAAACAAGAGAAAGAAAAACAAUUAACUUACAGGCAAAGAUUGACCCCUAAGCCGACUUUGAGGAGCAAGGGAAGGUAGGUCUUCUGAAUGAACCACAGCGGCUUGCCUAUGAUGGAGAUGAACUCCAGGUGUGUCGUAUAAUUUCUGCAGAUAACAGAAUGUUACUGUACUAAACUCUGAAAGGCAAUGGUAAUAUACAGAUGCUAUAGCAUACCCCUCCUCCUAGGAAAGCGUUGAGUUGAAUUGAACCCAGGGUCGUUCCAGGGACAGCAGACUGUAUUGGUUUGUACUUUUGCGCUGAUGCAGCAACUGGAUCCUUUUCCGCCAUCAGUUCUGGUAUAAUGGUAAUACAGUAUUAACAAAAGUCAGUUCAAAAGAAGAAUAACUCGUUUAGAAAAAUAAAUCCCGACAUUUAUCUUUGUGAACAGAAUUGCUAUGAACUUCAUAGCAACCAAAGGCAACAAAACAUAUCAGAUGUCAACUAAUGAACUUACUCAGUUAAGCACCGAUAAAAGCUGAUUUCCCAACAUUUGUGGAGCCCUGUAGCAAAAGGUAAGCUAAACUAUCAGAUGCAAAAGCAUUUUUUAUAGGUCAAUCCAAGUAUGCACCAGCUAGAGGAUAAUCGAUACAGAAGGCAAAGCAAGAUAUGACAACUCUUUUGUUUUACUUCCUUUUACAAGCAUACUCAAAUAGAAAUCAGCAACAUGACUUGACUGGGCAUGAAAGAUUUUCAUGGAUAAAAUACCAGUAAAAAAGCAUGUGCUGAUUCAAAAUCUUAUUGAAGUUCCAUACAGUCAACAGGUUAAAAUCUCAAAUGUGAUUGAGAAUCAAAUCAAAUUCAUAGCAGUUCACAAGAAACCACACACUCCAAGAGCAAGGAUAAGUAAAAAAAAUUCAGGUUCUGAGAAGUGUUAAAUUCACUUGACAAAACCAAAUACUCAGCACUAAGUAAGUAAACUUCCAGAGUUCCCAUCAAGAAGCUCACCAUAACAUACACGUCCCGCCCCUGCACCAAAAAAUAACCAAAGAACUCAGUUUGAAGUUCCUGUAAAUGAUAGAUAUUCAUACUUAUUUCAUUCAACAGGAAGUACAAAUUUACAAUGUAUAAACCUAUUUCCUCUGUUGGCUAUAAUUAAAUAACUUAUAUCAAUGGCUUUAGUCAGAUCAAUGAAUUUCACACAUGAAGAUGCACAUACACUGAGAAGUAAAUACUUUUUUUUCCAUUUGAAUCUCUGAUGCAACUCCAGCUACUCCAACCAAAGACUUUGAACUCAUCAGAUGAAUGCUCAUAACACUGCAAAUAAGCCUCAAGGACACUCUUUUAAAAAGACACCAUAUAAAAUAAGUAAAAGCAAAGGCUAAGGAAACAAAUCUUACUUAAGCUUCUUCUUUACAGUGGCCUCUACAACCCCAUCACCAAUGCAAUUAAAAUCAGUCCCCUUGGGAAGUAAAUCAAUCUGUCAUUCGAAAAGUGCAAUUAGAAAGCUGCGUGCAUCAAUGUCAUGUUACAUAAGUUACAUAAGUACAAAUGAGAAGCUUAAUACCUUAGUAAUGACUAAUAUUAUGGGAUUUGCACCGGCCAGAUCACGCAUACCUUAGUAAUGAUAAUGCUAUACACAUAAACUGAUAUCAAUGGCUUAAACAAUGAACUGGACACAAGCAUACACAUAACUAACAAGUGCAUACCUUCUUUUCCUUUUGAAUCUCUGAUGCAACUCCAGCUAGCUACUCCAACCGAGGACUUUGAACUCAUCAGAUGAACGCUUAUAACACUGCAAACAAGCACCAAGGGAAACUCAUUUGGAUGGAUAAUAUAUAAAUAAGUACAAGCAAAGGCCAACGAAACUAAUCUUACUUAAGCUUCUUCUUUACAGCGGCCUCCAGUCCACCGCAACUCAAUCACCAAUACAAAUUAAAUCAGUCCCCCAACCUGUCAUUAGAAAGUCCAAUUAGAAAACUGCAUGAAUCAAUGCCACAUUACAUAAGUACCAAUGAGCUGCUUAAUACCUUAGUAAUCACUAAUAUUAUCAGAUUCGCACCAGCCAAAAAGCUACCAUUGAAGUCCACAAUAUCAAGUUAUCAACCAACAUAACCAUCUGCCUAGUUCAAAAUUUAGUCAGUAGAUUAAGAAAUGAAUUCGGUGUUGAUAGGUAACUAAAUUUAAAACAGAGGAAAGUUUGACAAGCUUCAAUAUGUUCCUUCACUUUUCAAACAUAUUUGAUAAUAUUAUCAUCAGUGCGGAUGUUGUCUGAAAUUACAACUAUUUACCUGUAAAGGACUCUAUAACCCAUACACGAGCUGCCCAUCAAUAUGUAGAGGACAGUCCCAAAUAAAAAUUUCAAGUCGCUCAAGUGAAAGAGGCAGGCCUUCCUCCACUGGAAGAUUUGCAAGCUUGGGACAGCCGGAGAUGUAAAGAUGUUCAAGAGAGGUGAGGAGUUGAAAGCCUUUGAUUUGAAAGCUUUUGUGGAGGAAAAGGAUGUGAUCAACAGUUUUGAGCAUUAGGAGACCUGUAGAUGGAAGAAAUAAAACGUUAGAUGUGGAAAACAGAGGAAAGUUUGACAAGCUUCAACAUGUUCCCUCGCUUUUCUACAUGUAUUUGAUAACAUUAUCAUCAGUGCGGAUGUUGUCUCAAAUUACAAGUGCGUACCUGGAAACCACUCCAUCGAGGAGUGUUGGUUUUCUCUUAUAUGAGUUCCAGAUUAAUUCGUACUUCAGGGAUGUGUGCUAUCUUGUGCCGGUAUCGUCCUUUGUAUCUCUGUUCAAGUAGAGGACAGUUGUAAAUAUCAAGUCGCACAAGUGAAAGAGGCAGGCCUUCCUCCACUGGAAGGGUUGUAAGCUUCGGACAGUUCCAGAUCCAAAGACGUUCAAGAGAGGUGAGGAAUUGAAAGCCCUUGCUCAGUUUCUUUAGAUUUGGGAAGUCUACAAUACUCAAAUCAACAAGAGAUCUGGGGAGCAGUAUCUCCGUCUCCUUUGAAUUCUCAGCCGCAGGUGGAAAUGACACCAGACCUCCAUCAUCUUCACCCCAUAGAUACAAUUCUCUCAAAGAGGCGAGUCUCUGCAACCCUUGAAACUCCAUCAGCGCCUUACAAUUCUUGAUCUUGUCAAUUGACAGUGAUGUUAGGUUGGUGGGGAAGGAAGUUGUAGUUGUCAAACCUUCAAAGUAAUCAAUUCUCAGAUCUUCAAGAUUACUGGUGUGCAUCAUGUCUCUCGCCAACUGUGCCACCUCCAAUUUAUCGCAAUUUCUGAUCCCUAUCAUUCUCGGCCACACAUUCAUUCUCGGCAACGAAACAAGACUUUGACAAUCAUAAACAAUUAAUGACUGAAGAUUGGUGAGGUGGCACAGUCCCUCGGGUAAGGAUUUCAGGUUUGGGCAGUUCUCGAUGUCAAUUUCUUCGAGUUGGCAGCUGUCAUCGAGGAACCUCUCAGUUAUUAACUCCAGCUGUCCACACCGCAGUAUCACAAGUUGUUUAAGAGACCCGGGUAAUUGACCUUUGCAUAAUAAGCACAUCGAAGAGGGACAAUUCCUUAUCCACAAACUCUCAAGACAAGAAGAAGAAGAACCGUUACCCACCUCCUCCUCUUUCUCUAUUAAUGACUUCAAAUUCCCACAAUUCCAGAUAUCUAUUCUUUUUAGGCUGGGAGGAAUCUGGUAUUUUGCAAAGUGCAACAGAGAUUCGCAGUCCUGAAUCACUAUGUCUUGGAGACAAGGUGGCAGACCAACAUCCGGAAAAGAAACAAGACUUGAACAUUCACUUAUGUGCAGCUCUUGAAGACAAGGUGGCAGACCAACAUCCGGAAAAGAAACAAGACUUGAACAUCCACUUAUGUGCAGCUCUUGAAGUGAUCUAAGGUGAUGCAAUCCUUCUGGUACCUUCACAAGGCUUCCACACUUGCUUAAUUCCAGACGUUCAAUAUUGCAAUCCAGGAUUUGCAAUUGCAACAACUGCUCUGCUUCAAUCCCUAGCUUUUCAACAAGGAUCGAGUUGUCUUCGAUAUACAGACGACUAAGAGAAAUCAAGUGUUGCAGUAAUCUAUCCUCGUUUUGAAAGCAACAUGUAAGCUCCUCACAACGAGUGAUCUUCAACUCUUUAACAUUUUUCAAGCUUUUCAUGAACGACUCUGUUUGGAAUCUCAAUUCUGAUACAUUUGAAUAUGUCAAACUCUCUAGUAACUCAAACUGAACUGUACUUGUGUCGUACACCACCAUCUUGCACUUUUCAAUGUUUGAUCCAUGAAGCUGUUUGUAUUUAGAUACUGAAACCACCAAUUCCUCACAUCCAUAUAUCUCAAGCUGUGCUAAUGAAUCAAGCUUCUCUGGUAAAUCACCCUCCAAUUUGGGGCAGCCCCUGAUGGAAAGCUUUUUCAGGCAAGAGAAAACUUCAACACCCUCACUUUGUUGGCAAGGAUACCACUUCUUCCAAUUUUUCAGAUUAUGUAACUCCAGGGUCUCUAAAGCUCGAAACGACAAUUUACCUUCUCCAUAAAACUCAACACCAACACUCUCCACUGCAUCCAUUUCUUGUAUACAAAGUUCUUUGAGACAAGGCAACUGUCCGAAUGGUGGCAACAAUUGACAAUGAUUACAACCUUCUAACUUUACCCGCACCAUUUUUGUGAAUGAAGGAUUCCCAAUCCAUGUUGAAAAUUUCGAUCCACCAUAAUCUUUGAUGGUGAGCUUUUUGAGCUUGCUAUGAGGCUGUAACAUGUCAAGCACAAUUGCUGCAUCUUCUGUUGAGACACUCGAAGAAGACCAUUCAAGAAAUAGGGCUUCAAGCCUUUCCUUGCUCUUUAAGCAGUUGGCACUCCUGGCAUCCUCGACACAAAUCACAUUUUCUAGUCUUGAGAUGUGCAAUGUCCCUUGCAGAUGCAAUAAUGACUCGAUCUCUCUUACUCCUGAUCCACUACCUUUGCCAAUAACAAACUCAGGCAAUGUUUGGAGGUUAGUCAAUUGACCAAGCUGAGGAGGCAUUUCUUCCAAUGACCGUGUACCUGAAUUGUUGAGAUGACGCAAAUUAACUAGGUUCCUCAUGCUUGUGGGCAGUGCCUUCAACUGGUGACAACUUUCCAAUAACAAUGUCUGCAAGUUGUACAGAGUUGUUGUCGAGUCUGGCAAACUUCUUAUCCCAGUGUGGGAGAGAUCAAGAUACCGUAGAUGCUUCAAUUCACCAAUUGUAUCUGGCAACUCGAUUAUUUGAUAACUUUUCAAAGAGAGGAGUCGUAAGUAUUGGAGUUUGGGAAAUAAAUUAGAAGUAACCUUCUGAGCCAGAUAAUGAGAAUCUGGAAGUGACCCAAGUGAAAGUGGUAAGAAUGUCCGCAAACAUAUAGCUUCAGAAUAGACCUCGAACUUCUUAACCCCGUCACACACUCCAAGAAUGUAAGAUGAAUGACGAAUCUUGGGCAAACAUGAAUGUUGCUGCGAGUCAUAAUUCUGCAUGUCCUCCAAUCUACAACAUGAACUUCCUGCAGCCCAACGAGCCAAAUCAGUAACCAGGUCAUGCAUUAUGUAUCGCGACUCUGUUUUGCUUGAUUUUUGAAAUAAUGACCUGGACACCAACUCUUGAAAAUAGUCACGUCCCAAAUCUUCCAUUUGCUUAUGUUCUUUGGGUUGCUGCGGAAUCAAACCUUCUGCCAUCCACCAAAGGAUCAAUUGCAUCUCCUUAAAUUCAUAAUCAUUUGGAAGUAUUGCACAGUAGGAGAAACACCGUUUCAAAGUCGAAGGGAGAUAAUGAUAGCUCAGUUUUAAUGCUGGAAGGAUAUCCAUCUUGUUCUGGUCUGAUAGAGUCCACAUCUUGUGGUCUAAUAUGUCUUCCCAUUCGUCUACUUCUUUACAACGUAAAAGCCCACCAAGAGUCCUUGCAGCUAACGGUAGCCCGUUGCAUUUUUCUACAAUUUUUCCUUUAAGGAACUCAACAUCUUCAGGUCUGUUAUUUAAGAGAGCAUGGUGCUGAAAGAGUCUCCAACAAUCAUCUUCUGACAUCGGCUUCAAGUUAUAAGGGCUCCUAUCUCCCAUCAUAUUUGCGACAUUGGCGUCACGUGUUGUCACGAUGAUCUUACUUCCAGCUGCUCCAACACGAAAGGAGGCCUGCAGUGUAGUCCAAUGACCAUAGCUACAAGUGUCCCAGACAUCAUCAAGAACAAUUAAAAACUUCUUGCCAGCCAAUUCCUUACUUAACUUCUCCAGAAUUGAGUUAAGCUCCUUGACCUGAACUGGAGCUGACGUGACUGAUUCCAAAACGGCUGCUGCCACCCUUACAAUGUCAAAGUCGUCUGACACAGAUACCCAUCCUUUUGGGGAAAACUGGCCAGUUGCAGCAUCGUUGAAUACAUGUUUAGCAAGUGUUGUCUUUCCUAGUCCUCCAGUACCGACAAUACCAACCACAUGAUACUUCUCUUCUUUUGAAAGCAAAUCAUAGAGAAUCUUAUCGUUUGCUUCAUCCCUUCCGAUCACAGGUCCAUCAGGUUGAGAAGUAGUGAGUGGCAUUUUCCAUGGCUUUUUAGUGGGUCUAUCAAGUUCCUUCAAACCAAACUGCUUCUUUCGAGUAGUUAUCUCCUCAAGUCGAUCACUUAUCUUCUUGAUUGCUGAGUUCAGAUCAAAAUUGGACUUAACUUUAGAGAGUGAGCUCCAUAACUUGCUUUUGCUUCCUUGUUGUCUUUCUAUCCUCCGCUUCAGCAUUUUAGUAUCAAAUAUGUCCAAUACAUCUUGAACAUCGUAAGCCAAAUCUCUGAGAUCAUCUAGCCACAGUUUCACUCGACUUUGUGUUAGUUGCUUCUCCUCAGCAUCACUCAGCACCGCUUCAACGGCCGUCAACGUUCUAGUCCAUUUCUCCAGCACCUUUUUGUCGACCCCCUUAAGGCGUCCGAAGUACUCAGUGAUCUCUUGAUCCGCCAACUUCUUAAGCAGCACCGGGAGGAAUGCACCAAGAACAGCCUCCCCCAUCGUUUCUUUUUUGUACAAUCGAUGGUAUUCAAAACUGCAGAAAGUGAAGCUAGUAGUUAAUCAAGGUACAAUUCUAGUUGAUGCAUGCAUGCUAGAAAAUAAUUUAAACAAUGAAAUGGGUGUUUAAAUUUGAUUUGUUUCCCUUAAUUUGCAAGAUCGGAAACAUGCACUUACAUGAAAAGUUGAUUAUUUCUUCUGUGAGCUCACAACUAAAACACUUGCAACGUUAAUUCUUCCACAAGGUGAUCGGCCAAGUCUCUUAGAUCAUGAUCAUGACAGACUUUCUUGUUGCAGAUCGAUCUGAUUCCAGCUAUACUGCACAAAUGAGUAAGUGGAUCCAGUUCAUAAUGAUAAUCCAACAUGAAUAUAACUGCAGAAUGAAAUUAGUAACGGAUUCAAGAAGAGCUUACAUGGAUCAAAGGAUAUCUGAAUCCAAAAUCAAGAAGCCCUUUCUUCUUUAGAGAUGAAUAAUGCAUACAGUGCAGUGUGUAUAGAUCAAGUAUGAAUGGAUAGAAGCUCCUUUGGCAAAAAGUCAACGAUAUGAAAGCCACUCGCACUUUCCUAAAAGUCGAUGAAACAAAGGAGAGCCACUACCCAACAGGAACGACGAGAAAAGGCAAUGGAACACAAAGGUUUCACCCUGCCGACACCGAAAUUACCAUUUAACACCUGCUGUAUGUGCAUCUAAUGUUUUCAUCUGUUUUUUUGUUCUACUGGAUAGUUUUAGAACAGUGGGCAAAACUGACGACGACUAUGUUUUGUGAGAAUAAUUACGCUUUUGGUCCAUUACAAGCGAGGCUAGGCAUAUGGCUACUGUCGUUUUAGUGAAAAGAUUACGCUCUGGCUUUCAAAUAAUCCACGAUUGUUUCAGUGAAAAGUCAUGAUUUUGGAUGGACCAAAAGAUUACAUAACUCACAGUCAGUGAGACUAAUAUUGCUAUGUUUAGUGAGACUAAUAUUGCUUACGGUACCAAAUGUUUAGUAAAUGAUUUUUGCAAGGUGUUCCAAUUGAUCAACGAAGAUGCGUUUUUGGCAAUAAAACGUAUUUGGACCAUCGUUUUUUGGUGAAUUUGAAUAUUUAUUGGAUAGUCUUCACAGAGAUGGGCUCAUGGGCAAUAUCAUUCAAAUUCGACAAUUAUUCGAAAAUUUGGCGUACAAAUUCGACAAUUAUCAUUCAAAUUCGACGCUCUACAAUAUAUGCAGGUUGAGCACAGAGCUCAAAACAGGCACAACAUUGGAAUGCCACCACCAUGGAACUACUCAAGAGUUGAGAGAGUUUUACAUAUACAUUUGUACCUAAAUGAGAGCUGGAGAUUGGUUGCAUAACCAACUAGCACAUGUAGCGGACAAACAAGAAGUUUCUCAUACAUACGUUGAAGAUAGAUAAGCCCUCACAUGAAAGGAUCAUUCACCAUGGUAAAGUAAAACAUCUGAACCAAAAGAGAAAAGUUUGACAAAUCAGAACAAGUUAUACUUGAUAUGAUAGCAAAGAAGCAACUUGUGUUCAACGCAAAGCUACAAUUGAAAUGAGCAUGGAAACAUGGAAAGAAAACAGUAGAAAGGGCCAUUUAGUAAAGGGAUUCGAGAUGUACCAGCAUCACUUGUUUUGUUUAGCAACGGUCCUUUGAACAGUUGAAACUCCAUCCACAAACUUUGUCCGGAAAAGGACAUUAGCAUUAUUGAACAUGCCUUCUUUCAGUGAAACCACAAUGAACUGAAAAAAAUGUGACAAACAAGAAAAAUGGGUAAGUAGACGUCGCAUAUUAUCUUUAUAAGUUAUGCCGCAAUCUCCUUUGUAGAAUGAGGUUUGAAUUACAAACUCCAGAAUACCAGACUCUACAAACAGCCAAGGGACGAUGAUCAGUCAAAGAGCAGUGGAUAUGCCAGAUAACAACUAUGCCUAAAACAUUUUCUGAACUUUUUGAGAUUUGUAAAAGUCAGAUAGUAUUACUUAUUUACUUGCACA